GACGUAGGGCGCGAGCGUUGUCCGGAUUUACUGGGCGUAAAGAGCGUGUAGGCGGCCAAGCAGGUCUGUUGUGAAAACUGGAGGCUCAACCUCCAGACGUCGACAGAAACCGCUUGGCUAGAGUCCGGAAGAGGCGAGUGGAAUUCCUGGUGUAGCGGUGAAAUGCGCAGAUAUCAGGAGGAACACCAAUGGUGAAAACAGGUAACUGGGGAUGUGCUGACGCUGAGACACGAAAGCCAGGGGAGCAAACGGG
rnacentral:rRNA from 1 species